rnacentral:lncRNA from 1 species
UGACUAGUUUGUUUGGGCAGUUUAUCAUAAACUACCAUAUGAACAAAUUGGACUGCAACUUAUCUGAGUUGGUCAAUAUGUUAGUCAUUGCUGAGAGAAUCUUGAAAGAUUCAAAGCACUCUAUCCUGGAGAGCCUAAAGAAAAAGGAUGAAGCAUCUUGUAAAGGAAUGCUCAUAAUAGAAUCUAACCUAAUAGUUUUUUCUACUUCUAGUUGGGUAUUGGACUCUACUUCGAGUGCACACAUAUGUACUUUAAUGCAGGGUCUAAUAG